GGACAUAAGAAAGGAGCUAGGGCAAUCUCCCAGUAUGCUUUUGUGAACAGGGACACAUGUUGGGAGGAGCUUGAGUGGAAAGGGAAACAUGGGCAGUCUCCAGCAGUUGUUGCUACAAAGCCUCAUUAUUUCCAAGAUUUGGAUAUUCUUCAAACCGUGGAAAACUUUCUUGAAUAUGUAUCAGACUUUUGGUCGUUAGAAGAACUUGCCGACUCAGUUAAAGAUGGAGAAAUAUUGCGCAUUGACACUAAAUAUUUUAUAGAGCAAUUCAU
rnacentral:misc_RNA from 1 species